rnacentral:rRNA from 1 species
UAAGGAAUCUUCCACAAUGGGCGAAAGCCUGAUGGAGCAACACCGCGUGCAGGAUGACGGCCUUCGGGUUGUAAACUGCUUUUAUAUGGGAAGAUUAUGACGGUACCAAAUGAAUAAGGACCGGCUAACUACGUGCCAGCAGCCGCGGUAAUACGUAGGGUCCAAGCGUUAUCCGGAAUUACUGGGCGUAAAGCGUGCGCAGGCGGCUCGUUAAGUGAGAUGUGAAAUCUGACGGCUCAACCGUGAGACUGUAUCUCAUACUGGCGAGCUAGAGGAUGGCAGAGGCAAGUGGAAUUCGUAGUGUAGCAGUGAAAUGCGUAGAUAUUACGAGGAACACCAAUGGCGAAGGCAGCUUGCUGGGCCAUUUCUGACGCUCAGGCACGAAAGCGUGGGGAGCGAACAGGAUUAGAUACCCCCGUAGUCC